GUGCUCGCUUCAGCAGCACAUAUACUAAAAUUGGAACGAUACAGAGAUUAGCAUGGCCCCUGCACAAGGAUGACACACAAAUUCGUGAAUUGUUCCAUAUUUAA